ACAGCCCACUGUAGCCAAGGACAACUUGCCGGAAUAUCAAACGAUAUAUAUAUAUAUAUAUAAUGAGCCGGCCGGCAAGUCAUCCUUGGCUGCACCACUCUGUCU
rfam:Corchorus olitorius cultivar O-4 contig16513, whole genome shotgun sequence.